rnacentral:rRNA from 1 species
GAUGAACGCUGGCGGCGUGCCUAACACAUGCAAGUCGAGCGAACGGACCAGCAGCUUGCUGCUGUGAUGUUAGCGGCGGACGGGUGAGUAACGCGUGGAUAACCUACCUAUUAGACUGAGAUUACGUCGGGAAACCGGAGCUUAUACCGGAUAAUCUUUUGAACCGCAUGGUUCAACAGUGGAUGACGGUCUUGCUGUCACUUAUAGAUGGAUCCGCGCUGCACUAGCUGGUUGGUGAGGUAGCGGCUUACCAAGGCAACGAUGCCUAGCCGGCCUGCGAGGGUGAUCGGCGACAGUGGAACUGAGACACGGUCAAGGCCCCGACGGGAAGGAGCAGUAGGGAAUGUGACGCAAUGGGCGAAGGCCGGACGGUGCAGCGCCGCGGGAGUGAUGAAGGUCUCCGGAUCGGAAAACUCUGUUAUUAGGGAAGAACAUAUGUGUAAGUAACUGUGCACAUCUUGACGGUACCGAAACAGAAAGCCACGGCUAACUACGUG